rnacentral:lncRNA from 1 species
AAAACCAGAAGCCACAGCCUAAAGUUCGCUUAGGUUGUAACCGGUGGUCGGGUCUUCCCGAUUUUUCAAAACCUUUCACCCAGAUUUAUCUAUUGCUAACAGUUUGCCCCACGGCUUUACCUUUAUCGUAAUCUAUCUAUCCAUCCAUUCAUCGCCCGCCUGUCCGUCCUAACCCAAUCACCAGGGACAAACCAAAGUCGGGUUUACUGACCCAUCGCAAUGAAGGAGACCACAUCCCAGAGGAGGAGCUGUGACGCAACGUUGUCAACAUCCACCCAAGUUGUGGCGUGUGUUAGUCCUCAUUCCUUUUCAUGGAUGGAUAUCAUCACGCUGUAUGGAUAUACCACAUUUUGUUUGUCAUCCGCCAGUGGAUGGACUGACGUCUGUUGAUGCUUCCACCUUUUGGCUAUUACGAACAACGCUGCUGUGAACAAGUCUACGAACUUCAUCGUGGACGUUGGCAUUCGUGUCUCUUGGAUAUCUACCUGGGAGUGGAAUUGCUGCAUCACAAGGUGUCCGUAACAGCAGUAGUUGUUACUGCAUCUGCUACAGACCUUCUAUAUUUGGGUUUAAUACUUUAAAAUAUGGAAAUUCAUGAAAGAAACCUCAACUAGAUUGGAGUUGAGUGGACCUGAAUGGGGAGUUCUCACACCCUGCUGCACAUCGUCAAUUACACCAAACAGGAAGCGAGGGACCUUUGCAUCUUGGACAGAAAGUAAAACUACUUUGCUACUGAAGGAAGAUUUCUUUCCCCACCUGGCAACAGCCCAGCCAAUGAGAAACACUGCAGCCCAGCCAAUGAGAAACACUGCAGCCCAGCCAAUGAGAAACACUGCAGCUCAGCCAAUGAGAAACGCCACAGCUCAGCCAAUGAGAAAUGCCACAGCUCAGCCAAUGAGAAAUGCCACAGCUCAGCCAAUGAGAAACACCACAGCUCAGCCAAUGAGAAACGCCGCAGCUCAGCCAAUGAGAAACACCACAGCUCAGCCAAUGAGAAAUGCCGCAGUUCAGCCAAUGAGAAAUGCCGCAGCUCAGCCAAUGAGAAACACCACAGCUCAGCCAAUGAGAAACGCCGCAGCUCAGCCAAUGAGAAAUGCCGCAGCUCAGCCAAUGAGAAACGCCGCAGCUCAUCCAAUGAGAAACACCACAGCUCAGCCAAUGAGAAAUGCCACAGCUCAGCCAAUGAGAAACCCCACAGCUCAGCCAAUGAGACGCUGUUGCCACCCUGAACUGUUACUCUCCCCCAAUGGACUUUCCUUUAGAGCAGCCCCUCCCCCUCCCUCUCCCCCUUUUUCUCUAUAAAGGCAGCUCCCCUCCUUUGUUCUCUGGAUUUGAACUAUGGUUCGUCACAGCACGGACAUCCUGAAUUGCAAUUCUUUUGGCUGUUCCCAAAUAACUUUGUUCUGAGGCUUUUCAAGUCGACAAGAACACAGAAUGUCUAGGAGAAAAGAAUUUCCUGUUUGUCAUUUCAAUUCUUUUAGCUCCCCUUGUUUUAAAAUACUUAAAAUCUAAAGGGGUGCAAGGGCACUUUGGGGUGCUGGAACCGUGCUGUGUCUGGGUUGGGGUGGUGGUCACACAAUGUAUGCACUUGUCAAAACCCUAAAACUGCCCCUGCAAGCGUGAAUAACACUGUAUACAAAUAAUGCCUUAAUUUAAAAAAUACUUAGAGUCAAUUUUUUUCCUUUUUUCUCAUAUUAAGGAUACAGAUUUGACAACCUUAAAUUUAAGAGCUCUGUGUAUAAAAAACAACUCACACUAAAAUUAAAGGUGAA